rnacentral:lncRNA from 1 species
CAAAGACCUACAGAAAUAUGGCAUUUAAAUGGUUUAGGGUUUUUCUUGGCAGUGAGACACAACUGCUCCUGGCACACCAAUUAUGUCAGAAAGGAGGAUGGGCAUCGAAGAAACUCGUUAUGGAGUUUGCUUUCAACAUGGCAAGACUAGCCAUUUGGGCAAGAAACUGCUCUUGCCUGGACUGUUUGUUGCUGUAUAAAUUGGACAUGCAGGACCCACAAGAAAAUGACUGCUAAACUUACAAAACUAAAGGGUUCCUGUUAAAAUGGAGGAGUGUGUUAGACAUACUGUGGCCUAUAGGCUGAAGAUGGAUGCCCCAACAUUUACAGAGGAACUUUGGGUGACUGCCCAGCGGCAAGAUGUGAUCCACCAGCUAGGAGGGACGCCAAUAAGGCGUCCGAUAAGAUAAGUCUUAUAAAAUAUAUAGAUGUAUGAUGAUUGAUACUGAGCUAACAGAUGAGAAUCCUAGUCAUUGGCCAAGCAGCAUUGUAACUAAUACAAGUCUCUCUGUGUAUUCAUUUGGGCCUAACUUGGACAGGCGGCUGCCAUAAAGCUUACACGUGGCGGUGGGGCUCAGCGGCUUUUGGCAGAAAGAUUUAUC